rnacentral:rRNA from 1 species
CUAACACAUGCAAGUCGAGCGGAAACGACACUAACAAUCCUUCGGGUGCGUUAAUGGGCGUCGAGCGGCGGACGGGUGAGUAAUGCCUAGGAAAUUGCCUUGAUGUGGGGGAUAACCAUUGGAAACGAUGGCUAAUACCGCAUAAUGCCUACGGGCCAAAGAGGGGGACCUUCGGGCCUCUCGCGUCAAGAUAUGCCUAGGUGGGAUUAGCUAGUUGGUGAGGUAAUGGCUCACCAAGGCGACGAUCCCUAGCUGGUCUGAGAGGAUGAUCAGCCACACUGGAACUGAGACACGGUCCAGACUCCUACGGGAGGCAGCAGUGGGGAAUAUUGCACAAUGGGCGAAAGCCUGAUGCAGCCAUGCCGCGUGUAUGAAGAAGGCCUUCGGGUUGUAAAGUACUUUCAGUUGUGAGGAAGGGGGUAGCGUUAAUAGCUCUAUCUCUUGACGUUAGCAACAGAAGAAGCACCGGCUAACUCCGUGCCAGCAGCCGCGGUAAUACGGAGGGUGCGAGCGUUAAUCGGAAUUACUGGGCGUAAAGCGCAUGCAGGUGGUUCAUUAACUCAGAUGUGAAAGCCCGGGGCUCAACCUCGGAACUGCAUUUGAAACUGGUGAACUAGAGUACUGUAGAGGGGGGUAGAAUUUCAGGUGUAGCGGUCGAAAUGCGUAGAGAUCUGAAGCAAUACCACGUGGCGAAGGCGGCCCCCUCGGACAGAUACUGACACUCAAAUGCCAAA